rnacentral:rRNA from 1 species
AACGAACGCUGGCGGCAUGCCUAACACAUGCAAGUCGAACGAGACCUUCGGGUCUAGUGGCGCACGGGUGCGUAACGCGUGGGAACCUGCCCUUAGGUUCGGAAUAACUCCCCGAAAGGGGUGCUAAUACCGGAUAAUGUCUUCGGACCAAAGAUUUAUCGCCUUUGGAUGGGCCCGCGUUGGAUUAGCUAGUUGGUAGGGUAAAAGCCUACCAAGGCGACGAUCCAUAGCUGGUCUGAGAGGAUGAUCAGCCACACUGGGACUGAGACACGGCCCAGACUCCUACGGGAGGCAGCAGUGGGGAAUAUUGGACAGUGGGCGAAAGCCUGAUCCAGCAAUGCCGCGUGAGUGAUGAAGGCCUCAGGGUUGUAAAGCUCUUUUACCCGGGAUGAUAAUGACAGUACCGGGAGAAUAAGCUCCGGCUAACUCCGUG